UUAUUUUAUAUAAACUUUUUUGCUUCAAGCCAAGAAACAAUGCAUCCAAAAAGAUACACUGGGGUUUACAGGGAUGGGUAGAACAGUUUCACUUCUCAAACUCAGAGGCAGCCGAAACCGCCUGCUGAAUGAGAUCUCAUGCUCAUAGGAGAAAAAGCAACGAAUUGCUUUGGUUCAUUUACUAAUGAUCCUUCCGCAGGUUCACCUACGGAAA
rnacentral:misc_RNA from 1 species